rnacentral:lncRNA from 1 species
ACAAAUUAGCAUAUUAAAGGUGCUGGGAAGUCCUAUACUUAAGAACCCCAUUUGCCUAUAUUUAACCUGUAGGAUUUGACAUCAUACAAGUCUUUCUUCAUACAGCAUUUAUUAAAAACUCUUGGAACAUACUUUGGAAAAUGUUGUUGUAUGACCUAGGCCAUACAUUCGGAUCCACAGUCUAUUAGAUCUUCAUGGGCACUGGCCUUCAGGCACACUUAAUCUAAGACGUGAUGCUGCUUCUGAGGUUGGUGUGGGAGGAUAGGCUGGGGAAACUGAUCUAGGGUGGAUGCAGGCAGUGUGGCAAAUCAGAGCUAGAGACAGUUCCCAAAAAGAAGAAACAAAUUUCCAUCCUAAAUUCAGAAGCUGUCUGUCAAACUCUCAGGAGGUAGGCAAACAGUGGAUUUAGGAGAUUCAUCUAGCUGAAGGCUUAGAGUAAGAGAUGAGUCCUGAGAAACACCAUCCCAUCCAGCAAGUAGGACCAAGGUUGUGUGAUGUUUUACUACUCCCUGCACAUGCCCACUAUCUUUUGUACCUCCUUCCUCAAAUUUGUGUUCUUUUCCUAAAUUUGUCUUUCAGGAUGCUAAUCCUUUGUUCUGAGAACAUGUCAGGCACCAUAAAUUCCAAGAUAAAAAAUAGUUCCUACCCUCGAAGAGCUUCAAAUGUUGUAAAAAAGCCUACAAACAAAUAGGCAUUAAAAAUACAGUAUAAUAAGAGACAAGACUGUGCAUAGAUUGGAGGAAUCUUAAGGGAGAUUUUGGUUCUUUAGAAUGAGGAUAAGUUAACUCCUUAGGGAAGAGGAUUGUGGCAGAGAAGGAAAUGUUAUUGCGGAGUAUAAAAAACAAGAUGUUUCAUACUAUAGAAUGUGUAUUUGUUCCAGAAGCCAUUAAUUGGAUUUGUCAUAGAUCUCUAUGCUGGAGUAGGCGAUGAAUUAGGAAACAAUUAGAACAGAGGCAGUCACUAUUUUAGUGACCCAGACUACUGCAUUGGGAAAGGAGAGGGGGAACAGAUUGCUGAGAUAUUACAGCUAGACAAUCAUAGGACUUGCUAACUGAUAUUAUCCAGUAAGGAAAAAAGAGAAAUCAAAGAUGAUACAUUAACCUGCAUUCCUUGUUACCAGUGAGGAAAGAAGGAGAUGGAUUUUCUUCAAACCUUAAAACAUGCCUAAGAUUUAUUCAUACCGGUUGGGUUCAGUUCUAACUGCUUUCUAUCACCAGGGACUGCAGAAGGGUGGCUGCAGUGGAAACAAGAUCAGUACUUGUGUGGCUGGGUAGAAAGAUCAUCAUUCAGAUCCUAAUUUGUAUUCCUUGUUCUUCUCAAGUCACGUAACACAGACUACAUCCUGGAUUCACCCCGUGAGGAGUAUCUUGAACCUGUCUUGCUCAGAGGAGAAUGAAGAGGAUUGCUCUAGAGAUCUCACCGACCAGAAGAGUUGAUGGUUUUCUGUAGGAAGCGGAGCUCCACAGUCUUCCGGCAUCUCAGUCUGUGAGCGUGACUUGAGCAGAGACCUGUGACACCCAACUCUGAGACACAGCCAUCUGAAAUAGGAGCAAAGCAGGCACUACUUGAUGGAGUAGGAAAUGGAGACUAGACUUAGGGUAUUUUUGUAAAAAUGUUUUAAUAUACUGUACACAUUUAAAAGUUGCUACUCAGUAGUUCCUUAAGAAUGAUUCAGUUAUAUCUUUUGAAAUGAUAUAUAAUUAAAUUUUAUAUGUAUACUUUUGUCUUAUAUAUUUACAUCUUUAUAAUUUUAUAUGUAGUUCAUUAUUUGGCAUCAUAUCCAAUGGUCUUUAUAAUUAAGAUCUAUUUAAAAUUUAUGUGAACAGAGUAAA